AACUUUCAACAACGGAUCUCUUGGUUCCAGCAUCGAUGAAGAACGCAGCGAAAUGCGAUAAGUAAUGUGAAUUGCAGAAUUCAGUGAAUCAUCGAAUCUUUGAACGCACAUUGCGCCCCUUGGUAUUCCGAGGGGCAUGCCUGUUCGAGCGUCAUUG
rnacentral:rRNA from 1 species